rnacentral:rRNA from 1 species
UCGAGAAUAAUUCACAAUGGGGGAAACCCUGAUGGUGCAACGCCGCGUGGAGGAUGAAGGUCUUCGGAUUGUAAACUCCUGUCAUCUGGGAGUAAGACCUGGGCGUGAAUAGCGCACAGGGUUGAUAGUACCAGAAGAGGAAGGGACGGCUAACUUCGUGCCAGCAGCCGCGGUAAUACGAAGGUCCCAAGCGUUGUUCGGAAUCACUGGGCGUAAAGGGUGCGUAGGCGGUUUGGUAAGUCAGAUGUGAAAUCCCGGGGCUCAACCCCGGAACUGCAUCCGAUACUGCCAGACUAGAGGACUGGAGAGGUGACUGGAAUUCUCGGUGUAGCAGUGAAAUGCGUGGAUAUCGAGAGGAACACUCGUGGCGUAAGCGAGUCACUGGACAGUAUCUGACGCUGAGGCACGAAGGCCAGGGUAGCGAAAGGG